GCCAGUUCUAAUGAAAGUAGCUUAAUAUAUCCUAAACAUUAUUCAAAGUAAUUAGUUCUUAUCUUGCCAUUUAGGUCUCAAUAACAUAGACCGUAGAGGCAGCAAGUCAAGAAAGCAGCUAAUGGGUGAGGUCCCUGUGAAUUCUUUCUGUAAAGUAUAUAGUAAAGGGCGUGACCCCAUUCCAAUGUCAAGGUGGAUUGCAAGUAAAGAGAAAAUUGGCCGAGUCUGGGGCCCAAAUCCUUUUAUGAGCCUUGUGAUACAGCAAGAAACAAGAAGAAAGCCAGAUCUCAUCCCCAAAGAAAGAAUGUAACAAGAGGAAGUGGUUUAUUUAAAUUUUUUGACCACAUCUUUUCUCUCAGUAGAAUCAAAUUCUUCCUCUACUUUCACUUUUUCUUUUGAAUAAAAAAUUGCCCCAGUUUUUCAUUUCCCUUGUUAAGCAUGCCUAUGGGAUUAGGUUUAUGUUUGAACCAGCUAGUUGCUUCUUGUUUCUUAGCAAGCUCUGCCAUAUGAUCAAGGCCGUCUUCUUGUUGUCAUGACAACCUACAUUUACAUAAGCAAGAACUGGGGGAAAAUAUUUGUUGUUUGGAAUGAUUUGUGGUAAAUUUCAUCGUAAUGGAAAGAUAUAGCACCAACUUGACAGGCUAGCAGCUAGAAUUGGAAAAACAAAACAGACUUUUCCUAUUUCUUUUAGUGAGAUCUAUUUGAUAGGUGCCACUUUUGGCUAUCCUAAGUACCACCGUAUCUGGGAAAAAAAGGAAAGAAUGUGAUAAUCUUUCAUUCUGUCUUUAAUCACAUUUUCAGCAGCAAUCAGGACUUGGUGUGUUUUUGAGAGGGAGAGGAGGGGCCUGUUCCAAAAGCAAUGGUUAUUGAACCAGAAUCUUAAUGACCCCCUAGGGGAUCCACAGAUAAACCUCCUAAGGGGUAUGGCAGAGAUUACUCGCUCCAAUCUGUGUUCUCUUCUAUGCACACUGCCUGACUACAUUAACAGGACUCCCUUGCUGUUACGUAGGACCAUGUGAUUGACAUCAGCCAACGGACUGUGUGCAGGAGUGUCUACGCCACUUUCGGGCCUGGCUUAUACAAACCCCUACAGGUGCUCCUCCAUGCUCACCAUUUCCACCCGGCUGGAAUGGAGAUGACACCCAGGGCAGAAAGUUCAUCCCCCUGACCCCUAAGUGACUGCAUGUAGAAGGGCCUCUCCAGCUUCGUUACCAGCUAGAGUGAGCAGGGAAGGGCCAGAGAGAGAGGAAGAGAGAGAAUCCUAAGCAGACUCCACACUGUCAGCACGGAGCCCAAUGUGGGGCUCGAACUCAAGAACCACCAGAUCCUGACCUGAGCUGAAACCAAGAGACGCUUAACCGACUGAGCCACCCAGUAGGCUCCAUGCCCAGUCAGAGUCCAACAAGGGCCUUGAACUCCCCACCCUGAGAUCAAGACCUAAGCUGAGAUCAAGAGUCGGAGGCUUAACCAACUGAGCCACCCAGGUGCCCUCACCUUUCUACUCUUUAAAAGUAGUACGUAAUCCAGGGCACUUGGGUGGUGCACUGUCAGGACGGAGCCUGCUUGUGAUUCUCUCCCUCUCUCUCUGACCCUCCUCUGCUUGCACUCUCUCAUUCUCUCAAAACAAAUAAAUUUCAAAAAGUUAAAAAAAAUAAAAGCAAUACAUAAUUAAAGAUAUUUAUGAAAAUACAACAAAAAAUGAAAGCAAAAGCUGAAAAUAAAACACCUGUAAUCCCUAAAAAACUGAUUUUAACCUUCUUGGGGCACUUGGGGGGCUCAGUCGGUUAAGCGUCUGACUUCGGCUCAGGUCAUGAUCUCGUGGUUUGUGAGUUCCAGCCCUGUGUUGGACUCUGUGCUGACAACUCAGAGCCUGGAGACUGCUUCAGAUUCUGUGUCUCUGUCUCCCUCUGCCCCUCCCCAGCUGGCGUUCUCUCUCUCUCUCUCUCUCUCUCUCUCACUCAAAAAUAAUUAAACGUAAAAAAAUUUUUUUCAUGUUUUUAAAUUUAUUUUGGAGACAGAGAGAGACAGAGCCUGAGCAGGGGAGGGGCAGAGAGAGAGGGAGACACAGAAUCUGAAGCAGGCUCCAGGCUCCUAGCUGUCAGCACAGAGCCCGACGCGGGGCUCGAACUCACAAACCACGAGAUCAUGACCUGAGCCAAAGUCGGAUGCUUAACCGACUGAGCCAUCCAGGUGCCCCUAUACAUAAAAAUUUUUUUAAAAACUGAUUUCAACAUUCUAUUAGUGUAUUUUUAUUGUUUUCUAAAUAUAAUUGUAUUUUUAACAAUACGAUGAUACUAAAUAUGUGAUUUCAUUGCUUUUAUACUUAAUCAUACAUUGUGAG